GAUGAACGCUGGCGGCGUGCCUAAUACAUGCAAGUCGAGCGAACGGACGAGAAGCUUGCUUCUCUGAUGUUAGCGGCGGACGGGUGAGUAACACGUGGAUAACCUACCUAUAAGACUGGGAUAACUUCGGGAAACCGUAGCUAAUACCGGAUAAUAUUUUGAACCGCAUGGUUCAAAAGUGAAAGACGGUCUUGCUGUCACUUAUAGAUGGAUCCGCGCUGCAUUAGCUAGUUGGUAAGGUAACGGCUUACCAAGGCAACGAUGCAUAGCCGACCGGAGAGGGUGAUCGGCCACACUGGAACUGAGACACGGUCCAGACUCCUACGGGAGGCAGCAGUAGGGAAUCUUCCGCAAUGGGCGAAAGCCUGACGGAGCAACGCCGCGUGAGUGAUGAAGGUCUUCGGAUCGUAAAACUCUGUUAUUAGGGAAGAACAUAUGUGUAAGUAACUGUGCACAUCUUGACGUUACCUAAUCAGAAAGCCACGGCUAACUACGUG
rnacentral:rRNA from 1 species